rnacentral:rRNA from 1 species
GAGGAUACUGGCUUCAAGCUGUGGUACACAGGGACGACUGCAAACAGAAAUGGCGUAGGCAUCUUGAUCAACAAGAGCCUCAAGUAUGGAGUGGUAGAUGUCAAGAGACGUGAGGACCGGAUUAUCCUGGUCAAGCUGGUAGUUGAGGACUUGGUUCUCAAUGUUAUCAGCGCGUAUGCCCCGCAAGUAGGCCACAAUGAGAACACCAAGAGGGAGUUCUGGGAAGGCCUGGAAGACAUGGUUAGGAGUGUACCGAUUGGUGAGAAGCUCUUCAUAGGAGGAGACCUCAAUGGCCAUGUGGGUACAUCUAACACAGGUUUUGAAGGGGCGCACGGGAGCUUUGGCUAUGGCAUCAGGAAUCAAGAAGGAGAAGAUGUCUUAAGCUUUGCUCUAGCCUACAACAUGAUUGUAGCUAACACCCUCUUUAGAAAGAGAGAAUCACAUCUGGUGACUUUUAGUAGUGGCCAACACUCUAGCCAGAUUGAUUUCAUCCUCUCGAGAAGAGAAGAUAGGCGUGCGUGCCUAGACUGUAAGGUGAUACCUGGAGAGAGUGUUGUACCCCAGCAUAAGCUGGUGGUUGCUGACUUCCGCUUUCGGAUUCGUGUCCAGCGGGAUAAGCGUGCCAAAGUCGCUAGAACGAAGUGGUGGAAGCUCAAGGGGGAGGUAGCUCUAGCGUUCAAGGAGAGGGUCAUUAAGGAGGGCCCUUGGGAGGAAGGAGGAGAUGCGAACAAUGUGUGGAUGAAGAUGGCGACUUGCAUUUGUAAGGUGGCCUCGGAGGAGCUUGGAGUGUCCAGGGGAAGG